UACGGGGGGGGCAAGCGUUGUUCGGAAUUACUGGGCGUAAAGGGCUCGUAGGCGGCCAACUAAGUCAGACGUGAAAUCCCUCGGCUUAACCGGGGAACUGCGUCUGAUACUGGAUGGCUUGAGAUUGGGAGAGGGAUGCGGAAUUCCAGGUGUAGCGGUGAAAUGCGUAGAUAUCUGGAGGAACACCGGUGGCGAAGGCGGCAUCCUGGACCAACACUGACGCUGAGGCGCGAAAGCGUGGGUAGCAAACAGG
rnacentral:rRNA from 1 species